GUGUGUAAUUAUUACAUAUUUAACAUCAAUAAUUGUAGAUUUGUUGAAUGUUCAAGAACAUUGAUAUGGGAUCUGUUCUGAUACUGAAAUGUGUUCCUCAUCAGAGCUUAAUAAUACACAAUAACAUCAAUUAUGCAAUUAUAAACAUAAAUAAUCUGUUUAGUUUAAGUUUAUUUAUUCAUGUAAUUAGUAAUGAACUAAAUGGAUUUUGUGUUAAAAGAAGAAAACACACUUACUGUUCACCACGAGUUUGGAGCCUCCACCAAAAGUCCACCACAGUGAUACAUUCUAAUGAAACCAUCGUACAAAAACCUCCAUCACACUGCAGUGCACACACACACACACACACACACACACACACACACACACACACACGCGCACACACAGACACACACACACACACACACACACAAACACACGCACUCACACACACAAACACACGCACGCACUCACACACACUCUCUCUCUCUCUCUAUCUCACACACACACACACACACACACACACACACACACACACACACUUUGCAUUGCCAGUCCAUGCUUCAGUGCUCUGCGAGUGUUUAUAGCCCUGUGACUUUAACACUUCAUGACUGAGAGCUGCUGCUCAGCAACUUCACCCACAGCAACCAUGACUUUGAUCAGCGUCUUCAUCUGCACACUGGCCCUCUGGACUCAAGGAUCCAGAGGUCAGGUGACUGUGACUCAGACUCCUUCAGUGCAAACUGUUGAUCCAGAAAAAACAGUCACCUUCAACUGUAGAACCAGUAGCAGAGUGCAUGAUGGUACUGAUCUCGCCUGGUACCUGCAGAAACCUGGAGAAGCUCCUAAACUCCUGAUCUAUGCUGCUACUAGCUCAUACACAGGGACUCCAGCUCGUUUCAGUGGCAGUGGAUCUAAUACUGACUUCACUCUGACCAUCAGAGGAGUCCAGACUGAAGAUGCAGGAGAUUACUACUGUCAGAGUGAACACUGGAUCAGUGGUAGUGUUGUGUUCACACAGUGUUAGAGCGCCGUACAAAAACCUCGGUCAGUGAGAGUGCACAGAGAAGCGCUGCUGCAGCUGGGAGCGACUGCAGGUGCUGAGGGGGAGGAUGUGAUACAGCACAAUGACACACACUGUGGACGAGAGAAAACACACCACACUAACUCACUAAUGCACACACACAUCUGUGAGAGGAGUCCACCUUUCUCAGCUGUGGACAUACAAACAAUUCCUCAUCAUUCUCUUUCACUGCUUAGUAAUUAUCUUUAUCCUCAUUUAGAAAUUAUUUAUUAUAUUUUGUUGCAUAUAUGAUCUACCAAAAGACUUCUUUAUGGUUAAUAUCAAACACUAUUAUAAAGUUAAUAUUGUAUUGUAUAAACUUUAAUAUUCAUUAAAUAGAGCCACAUUAUAGAGCUGAAACUGACAUUUAACUGAACAUUUCUUUAAUUAUUAAAACAUUAGAUAAUAACUAAUUCAGUCUAGCUUCUCAAAUCACUGAACCAGAUCAUUGUUAAAAA